rnacentral:rRNA from 1 species
GCUUGUCUCAAAGAUUAAGCCAUGCAUGUCUAAGUAUCAACAAAUCUAUAAUGUGAAACUGUGAAUGGCUCAUUAUAUCAGUUGAUGUUGGUCACGCAACGCACGAGGACAAGAAGAGCCAUACAGGGGGACUCGUCUCUAUGGGCAAACUAGGAGAGCAUAGUUUCUUUGAUGGUUCUUACUACUUGGAUAACCGUAGUAAUUCUAGAGCUAAUACAUGCAUGAACCCCCGACUUUUGAAGGGGUGAAGUUUUUACUUUCGGGUCGACUUCGGUCGAUGCAUCCUUCAAGUUUCUGCCCUAUCAGCUUUAGAUGGUAGGGUAUUGGCCUAUCAUGGCUUUAACGGGUAGCGGAGAAUUAGGGUUUGAUUCCAGAGAGGGAGCCUGAGAAAUGGCUACCACAUCCAAGGAAGGCAGCAGG